UGGUUUUCAGAAAUCGCUUCAGAUGACAACAGGACAUCAUCUCACUCGCAUGCAGCUCCUCAGCUCUCGACUCUGUAAUAAGCCCAGUGUAGCAAGUGCUCUAUAAGUCGAUAAUAGGUCCAAGACCCCAGUCUUGGCCCUACCUGCAGUUUAUCAAAAAAUUUGUGGUGGCUCGCACAAAGAUCAUAAUAUAGAGAGACCCGUCUAGAAUAUCAUUCAGCUUAAAAACCAGAAUGACAGAACAAAUGAUUGACAGCAUCCUUGGCGUCAGAAGCCAGGAGGAAACACAAAAGAUCUUCUUUAGAUUGUUAGAACCCGAAGUACCUGAAGAUUUAUUCUUACGUUUAAUCCCUACUUUUACAAACCCCCAACAGAAGUUGAACCUCAUCCCUACAUUGAUAUAAAAGAUAAGCUAAAACAGAAAAAAGAGUAAAUAUGUCAUACAGCUGGGACCAGCAACAGCAGUAUGGCUGGGGAGACCAAUCAAGCUUCUCAUAUGACAUGGGAUCUCCAGACUUUGGACAGGAGCAACAGUUCCAAAGCUUUGAUUUCUUUAAUGAGAAUGCCAUUAAUCCUUUUAGUUUUAGGAGAGGAACCGUUGGAAGUGUGGUAUUAGUUGGUUUGAUCAGGAGUGUGUUCGUCCCAAGAAACGUCUUACAGUGGACUCUUGAAAGGGGAGUGAGUACGGGACUUUUUGCUACAAUUUUUUUUUAAUCGGAAUAGCUCGUAAAU
rnacentral:misc_RNA from 1 species